UACAGAGGAGCCAAGCGUUGUCCGGAUUGACUGGGCGUAAAGCGCACGCAGGCGGUUGCGCGCGUGGGGUGUGAAAUCUGGCCGCUUAACGGCCAGGCGCCAUCCCAUACGGCGCGACUGGAGUGAUGCAGAGGUCGAUGGAAUUGCUGGUGUAGUGGUGAAAUGCGUAGAGAUCGGCAGGAACACCCAGGGGGAAACCAGUCGACUGGGCAUCUACUGACGCUGAGACGCGAAAGCGUGGGGAGCAAACAGG
rnacentral:rRNA from 1 species